AGCAGCCGCGGUAAUUCCAGCUCCAAUAGCGUAUAUUAAAGUUGUUGUGGUUAAAAAGCUCGUAGUUGAACCUUGGGCCUGGCUGGCCGGUCCGCCUCACCGCGUGUACUGGUCCGGCCGGGCCUUUCCCUCUGUGGAACCCUAUGCCCUUCACUGGGUGUAGCGGGGAAACAGGACUUUUACUUUGAAAAAAUUAGAGUGCUCCGGGCAGGCCUUUGCUCGAAUACAUUAGCAUGGAAUAAUAAAAUAGGACGUGUGGUUCUAUUUUGUUGGUUUCUAGGACCGCCGUAAUGAUUAAUAGGGACAGUCGGGGGCAUCAGUAUUCAAUUGUCAGAGGUGAAAUUCUUGGAUUUAUUGAAGACUAACUACUGCGAAAGCAUUUGCCAAGGAUGUUUUCAUUAAUCAGGAACGAAAGUUAGGGGAUCGAAGACGAUCAGAUACCGUCGUAGUCUUAACCAUAAACUAUGCCGACUAGGGA
rnacentral:rRNA from 1 species